rnacentral:rRNA from 1 species
CCUACGGGAGGCUGCAGUGGGGAAUAUUGGACAAUGGGGGGAACCCUGAUCCAGCCAUGCCGCGUGUGUGAAGAAGGCCCUCGGGUUGUAAAGCACUUUCAGUGAGGAAGAACGCCUGGUGGUUAAUACCCAUCAGGAAAGACAUCACUCACAGAAGAAGCACCGGCUAACUCCGUGCCAGCAGCCGCGGUAAUACGGAGGGUGGCGAGCGUUAAUCGGAAUUACUGGGCGUAAAGCGCGCGUAGGUGGCUUGAUAAGCCGGUUGUGAAAGCCCCGGGCUCAACCUGGGAACGGCAUCCGGAACUGUCAAGCUAGAGUGCAGGAGAGGAAGGUAGAAUUCCCGGUGUAGCGGUGAAAUGCGUAGAGAUCGGGAGGAAUACCAGUGGCGAAGGCGGCCUUCUGGACUGACACUGACACUGAGGUGCGAAAGCGUGGGUAGCAAACAGGAUUAGUACCCCGGUAGUC